UACGGGGGGGGUAAGCGUUGUUCGGAAUUACUGGGCGUAAAGGGCUCGUAGGCGGCCAACUAAGUCAGACGUGAAAUCCCUCGGCUUAACCGGGGAACUGCGUCUGAUACUGGAUGGCUUGAAUCCGGGAGAGGGAUGCGGAAUUCCAGGUGUAGCGGUGAAAUGCGCAGAUAUCAGGAGGAACACCGGUGGCGAAGGCGGGUCUCUGGGCAACAACUGACGCUGAGGAGCGAAAGCGUGGGGAGCGAACAGG
rnacentral:rRNA from 1 species